rnacentral:rRNA from 1 species
UACGAGAGGCCCAAACGUUAUUCGGAAUUACUGGGCGUAAAGGGCGCGUAGGCGGCUGGGAAAGUCGGGUGUGAAAUUCCAAGGCUCAACCUUGGAGCAGCACACGAAACUGUCCAGCUAGAGUGCAGUUAGGGAAAACGGAAUUCCACAUGUAGCGGUGAAAUGCGUAGAUAUGUGGAGGAACACCGGUGGUGAAGACGGUUUUCUGGGCUGUAACAGACGCUGAGGCGCGAAAGCAUGGGGAGCAAACAGG